rnacentral:rRNA from 1 species
GACGAACGCUGGCGGCGUGCUUAACACAUGCAAGUCGAGCGGUAAGGCCCUUUCGGGGGUACGACGAGCGGCGAACGGGUGAGUAACACGUGGGUGACCUGCCCUCAGCUCUGGGAUAAGCCUGGGAAGCCGGGUCUAAUACUGGAUAUGACUCCAUGACGCAUGUUGUGGGGUGGAAAGCCUUGUGCGGCUGAGGAUGGGCCCGCGGCCUAUCAGCUUGUUGGUGGGGGAUGGCCUACCAAGGCGACGACGGGUAGCCGGCCUGAGAGGGCGACCGGCCACACUGGGACUGAGACACGGCCCAGACUCCUACGGGAGGCAGCAGUGGGGAAUCUUGCGCAAUGGGCGAAAGCCUGACGCAGCGACGCCGCGUGAGGGAUGACGGCCU